rnacentral:rRNA from 1 species
CACGUAGGGCGCGAGCGUUGUCCGGAAUUAUUGGGCGUAAAGGGUGCGUAGGCGGUUUGGUAAGUCUGAUGUGAAAUCUAUGGGCUCAACUCAUAGUCUGCAUCGGAAACUGCCGGGCUUGAGUGUGGGAGAGGUGAGUGGAAUUCCUGGUGUAGCGGUGAAAUGCGUAGAUAUCAGGAGGAACACCAAUGGCGAAGGCAGCACUCUGGGACGUGACUGACGCUGAGACGCGAAAGCGUGGGGAGCAAACAGG